rnacentral:tRNA from 1 species
GUCUUUGUAGUAUAUAAAAUACCUUGGUCUUGUAAACCAAAAAAGGAGAGCACUAACCCUCCCUAAGACU